GACGAACGCUGGCGGCGUGCCUAAUACAUGCAAGUCGAACGCACUCUCGUUAGAUUGAAGAAGCUUGCUUCUGAUUGAUAACAUUUGAGUGAGUGGCGGACGGGUGAGUAACACGUGGGUAACCUGCCCUAAAGUGGGGGAUAACAUUUGGAGACAGAUGCUAAUACCGCAUAAAAACCUAGCACCGCAUGGUGCAAGGUUGAAAGAUGGUUUCGGCUAUCACUUUAGGAUGGACCCGCGGUGCAUUAGUUAGUUGGUGAGGUAAAGGCUCACCAAGACCGUGAUGCAUAGCCGACCUGAGAGGGUAAUCGGCCACACUGGGACUGAGACACGGCCCAGACUCCUACGGGAGGCAGCAGUAGGGAAUCUUCCACAAUGGACGAAAGUCUGAUGGAGCAACGCCGCGUGAGUGAAGAAGGUUUUCGGAUCGUAAAACUCUGUUGUUGGAGAAGAACGUAUUUGAUAGUAACUGAUCAGGUAGUGACGGUAUCC
rnacentral:rRNA from 1 species